GAUGAACGCUGGCGGCGCGCCUAACACAUGCAAGUCGAACGAUUAAAGCACCUUCGGGUGUGUAUAAAGUGGCGAACGGCUGAGUAACACGUGGGCAACCUGCCCCUUUCAUUGGGAUAGCCACGGGAAACCGUGGAUAAUACCGAAUACUUCGAGACUUCCGCAUGGAAGACUCGAGAAAGCUCCGGCGGAGAGGGAUGGGCCCGCGGCCUGUUAGCUUGUUGGUGGGGUAACGGCCUACCAAGGCAAUGAUGGGUAGCUGGGUUGAGAGACCGACCAGCCAGAUUGGGACUGAGACACGGCCCAGACUCCUACGGGAGGCAGCAGUGGGGAAUCUUGCACAAUGGGCGAAAACCUGAUGCAGCGACGCCGCGUGCGGGAUGAAGGCCUUCGGGUUGUAAACCGCUUCCAGCAGGGACGAGGCGAAAGUGACGGUACCUGCAGAAGAAGCCCCGGCUAACUACGUG
rnacentral:rRNA from 1 species